AGCUGGAGUUUCUGCCUAGACUUUGGUCAGAGGGAACCCAGAGGGACCAGGAUGAAGAGUGAAGGAAAUGCCAAGGAGCUGACUGUCUGUCUGUCAAAGAAGACCCUGUUGAAAGCCCUGGGAGAAAUGGAGGAGGAGACGAGGUCCACCCUAGAAGGGAGCCUGAUAUGGAAAACGAGCCAUAGUUCUCCUUAAACUGAAGGGAGACUCUCCAGAGCCAGACCAAGGAGCAGGAGCAGAAGAGGGAUGGUCCUCCUGGGUUCAAAUCUGGCCUCAGACCCUUUCUAGCUCGGUGACCCUGGGUAAGUCAUUUCACCCCCAUUGCCUAGCCCUUACUGCUCUUCUGCCAUGGAGCCAACAC
rnacentral:lncRNA from 1 species